rnacentral:lncRNA from 1 species
UAAAGCAAGGAUUCUUAGAAAAUGAAAUUUAUUUACAUACAACUUAAAAUACAUGGAACUGAAACCAGCUUUGAAAGUAUGAGACAGUCAUAAAUAUCAGAUUUUCAUACUGUUUCUCUAAUUAAAAAGGCAUAUCCAUGGCAGAACUUGGAUUGUAUGUUUCAUCUCUUUCCUCAUGUGCCUUUGAUUAAUACUUGAGUUUCAAUCAUAAAUUCUUUAGGCUGGUAAACAGAUAUUCAGGGAAGCCAGAGAAAUCACCUGUAUGAAGAAUAAAUAAUGCAGAGUCACAGCUGCGCCUAUAUGUCAAAUUUCACUUGCUUCAUCCCAAGCUUAUUAUGCUCAUCCUCAGCUUCAAACUCAGCCCAUUUACAUGGCCUUAGUAAAUCCUACAAGUCUUUCCCUACCUUUUCACAAGAAAGUACCUAGGAUUGAUUACUUUUUAUUUUUUAAAUCUUUUGGAAAUUCUUAUUUUUUUUAAAUGCUACACUCUUUAAAUCUGUAUUAUCUAUUCAUUAAAUUAUUUUAAUGCAUUCAUUCAAUAUUUUAAUUUUCACAUGUGUUUUAUUUUUUAUUUUUGGCCAUGCCAGUAGCAUGUGGAAAUUCCCAGGCCAGGGAUCAAACCCACGUCACAGCAGCUACCUGAGCCACAGAAGUGACAAUGCUAGAUCCUUCACUGGCUGCACCACAAGAGACUCCAAAAGCUCUUAUUUUUAAUUACACAGAGUACAUGGAUACAUUGUUGGUACAAAAUCCAAACAUUACAGAUCAAGCUAAAGCCUCCCUUCCCUUCUACCUAGUUUUCUGUGUAUGCUUGUAAUCUUCCAGACCUUUUCUAUGUAUCUGUUGGAAUGUGUAGAUAGAGUUUAAAAAGUUUAGCUCUACCCUGAAUUACAAAGAGAAAUCAUUUAUGUUUAGAGUGCUCAUUCAUACUCAUUCUAAUAGCAUGAAAAAAAUUACUCCAGUGCAUCAGGCCCUUCCAUCCUCUCUUCCACCAUGGCUGCAUUGAAAUGUGAUGGUAGUUAAGGAAGCAUGUGGUCCUCCAGUCAUUUGUCCCAUAGGCAUUUGUGGAGAAAAGCCUGUUCCCAUCUGCCUGGCUCUUUGGAACUGAGACUGCCUUUGCCACAACAAGAUUGGUACAAUAAGAAUCUGUCUGUAGUGCCUGUUAAAGUAGUAGCAUUGGAGAGAGUGUAGCCUUUUGAAAGGCAGGGAUGGGAGUAAGGAGAGACAGAACAAGCCAGGCAGAAAAUGCAACCAGAAAGGGCUGGGGAGGAAUUUCUGAGAAAGCUGGAUAGUAGGUCUGUGCAUAAGAAUAAGAGAAGCAAAUGUAGUAGAAAAUCAGAUUGCAAAGAUAGGGUGGAACUACCCUAAUAUUUUACCCAUAAACAAGAAAAUAUAGUGAUAAAUUCGACAUUUCCUAGUUUCCUUGACAAGUAGCCAUUAACUAAAAGAAGACUAUUAACCAUGAGAAACUGAGUAAAGAUUUGGAGUGAUUGGAUGAACAUAGAUAGCCUCGCCCUCAGUGUUGAUGACAGUCUGCUGAUGGAUUGCUCUGUGAUCCUCCAGCCUAUGCGUGUGCACUGCCAGUGUAUCUGCUGCUUUCCGCUGGCCAGAGCUCUUGCCUGACAACAGCGGCAGUUUGAGACUCUUAAGUCUAUUUUACCAUCCUGUGGAGGUAAGAGUUGGAUAGUUUAUGCAUUGACUUCACAGCCCUUUGGGGAGACUGCCAAAGAAAGCAUGUUUUGGAUAGAAAUCUGAAAAAAAAAAAAUCAAAAGAAAAAAACAAACAAACAAAAAAUUUAAAUACCCAAGGGGAAUUUGGCAUAGGGAUAAGGUUUCACAUCCAGCUCCUCUCUAGGCUCUGCCAUUUAAUCAUCCUCCAGGAGGCAGAGGCUGCCACAGGGAACCAUGGAUAGCGAUUAGUCCUCCUUAGGCUGCAUCUGAAAACAGCCUCCUUUGAUAGGCAGUCAGAAAGUAAUGGGAUUUGGGUUUUAGUUGUAAGGGAAUGGUGGAAAAUGUUACAAACAGCUGACCUCUUGCGCCCCCACUGAAAUGGCUGCCUUCCUCUGCAUAUUUUAUGUUGCUUUGGGGAGAAUGACAAAAGACAGAUGCUUCUUGUUGGAAUGCUAGUUGUUUAAUCAUUCUUUCUAGUCCCCAGACGUUUACUGUAGUUCCUUGGAGCUGACAUCUUGGGCCGUUCCUUGGUUUUCAAUAUCUUGUAAAUGUGUUGUGUUGUGAUUUUCCAUUGCACGGAAUAUGGGAAAAUCUGUGGGAGAAUUUUUUUGAAAAGGUGUUAUGUAGCAGCUGGUGUCCUCAGGUCAGAAGCCUUAAACUGGAAGUGCAUUAACUGUAAACAAACUGUACACUCAUGUAGUCAGACACAAAAUACACAACAUUGUCCAUCUCCUAUCUCCCCCAGAGCAUCAUUCAGUUGUACUAAGAUGCUUACCUCCAUUCCAAGGGUCAGCAGCAACAUACAAACUUCAUCUUUCCAGUAGCACGACCUGUCCACAUAGCACUCACAAAGGAGGAGACCUGCUUCCUCUCCAGGGUCUGUGACUUCCAUGGAACCCCAGGAAACUGUGCAGUAGGCACAAUGACUUUCAGAAACAAAGGGAUACUCUUGUGUCGGCCACAAACUACCCUGCUCAAUAGGUCUCUUGCUCUCCAUUUUCAUAAAGAUAGCAUAAAAGAGAAUAUGAAAAGAUGUCCAUUUCAUCAUGUUAAGGAUCUAGAUAAAUGAUUAAUCUCAUGGUCACAUACAACUGUUUUCCCGGAAGGAUCAUAUUCCUCUUAACAGGCAAGUCAUAAUAGCAAUUUGAAACAUAAUUCAUUUCUCCUCCCCUAAGCAUCUUAACAUUUGAUAGAACUUCACAUUUCUUCUUAUUUUAGUGUAUCUUGUUUAAAUUUAUGUAUUUUUUCUGAUUUUGAGCCUGUGCAUUUUUUUUUCUCUCCCUCUUGGUUAAAUUUAAAGUUUUUGGAGUUCCCAUGGUGGCAUAGUGGAAUUGCAUCUGACUAGUAUCCGUGAGGAUUCAGGUUCAAUCCCUGGCCUCACUCAGUGGGUUGGGGAUCCAGCAUUGCCGUGAGCUGUGGUGUAAGUCACAGAUGCAGCUCAAAUUCCCACACUGCUGUGGCUGUGGCUGUGGCCAGCAGUUGCAGUUCUGAUUCAACCCCUAGCUUAGGAACAUCCAUAUGCCGUGG